rnacentral:ncRNA from 1 species
UUAUAUUUGAUUCUGGUUUAUGAAGAUUUUUUUAGGAUAAAUUUUAAAUAUGUAAAUUUUUGUGUGGUAUAAUAUUAUUCUUAAAGGAAAAUAUAUAUUUAUAUUAUUCGCAGUUUAUAAUUUUAUAAAUUUAGAAAUUUAAGAUUUGGUUAAUUCUAAAAUGACUAGCUAAAAUUGUGCCAGCAGCUGCGGUUAUACAAUUAGUUUAAAUAAUCUUUAUUAGAAUAUUAUUUGUUUAAUUUUUAUUUGAAUAUUUAUUGUUUAUUUUUAGGUGAAAUUUAAAUUUAUUUUUUGUAUUUUGGUUAAAUAAUUAUAUGAAAUUCAUUUGAUAGACUAGGAUUAGAUACCCUAUUAUUUUGAAUGUAAAAAAUAUUCUUAGUAUUAUAAGUUAAGAUCUUUAAAUUGAAAGAAUUUGACGGUAAUUUUAAUCAUUUUAGAGGAACCUGUUCUUUAAUUGAUAAUCCACGAUAAAUUUUACCUCUAUUAUUUUAUGUUUGUAUAUCUCUGUUUGAUUGAAUGUUUUAUUAGAAUAUUUUCUUUAAUUUAUUUAUAAAUAUAUAUCAGGUCAAGGUGCAGCUAUAUGGAGGUUUGAAAUGGGUUACAUUUAAUUUUAUUAAUUAUUAGAUUAUAAAUUUUAUUAUUUAUAUAAAAUUGGAUUUAAUUGUAAUGUUUAAUAUAUUUUAUUCAUGAUAUAUGUUCUUGAUUAAGUACACAUCGCCCGUCGCUCUCAUUAAUAAGGUGAGAUAAGUCGUAACAAAGUAGUUCUAUCGGAAGUUGGAGCUAGAAAUAUA